AUUAAUUUGAGAGUUUGAUCCUGGCUCAGGACGAACGCUGGCGGCGUGCCUAAUACAUGCAAGUCGAACGAACUCUGGUAUUGAUUGGUGCUUGCAUCAUGAUUUACAUUUGAGUGAGUGGCGAACUGGUGAGUAACACGUGGGAAACCUGCCCAGAAGCGGGGGAUAACACCUGGAAACAGAUGCUAAUACCGCAUAACAACUUGGACCGCAUGGUCCGAGUUUGAAAGAUGGCUUCGGCUAUCACUUUUGGAUGGUCCCGCGGCGUAUUAGCUAGAUGGUGGGGUAACGGCUCACCAUGGCAAUGAUACGUAGCCGACCUGAGAGGGUAAUCGGCCACAUUGGGACUGAGACACGGCCCAAACUCCUACGGGAGGCAGCAGUAG
rnacentral:rRNA from 2 species